rnacentral:lncRNA from 1 species
GGAGCUGUAUCGGUAAAGUCAAUGAGGCUGGCUCGGUGGGGAUUGUGGUGAAUGGAAGAGCAUGUGACCCUUCUAAGGACAACAACCACCACCAACCUUCAGCAGACUGUUGCCAAGUACUAACCAGAGUGGCCAGCUUGGUUGAUCAAAAGAAACCACAACUCCAGAUUUACUCAGAUGUGGUUGCUGGAAUCACCAUCCACCCAGGCUGAAAGCUCAGAUCUUACUGCACUUCUUCCUUCUGAGAACUGUGACGACCAGCAUCCACACAGCUUAGCUAUCAGGACUGAGAGCUGAGACCACUUGUUCAUUCUUACCUAGAAGUUACAGCUAUGAACUGUUGCAGCAGGAUUUCAGAGAAACCCACUGGAG